GCGGACGUGGUGGAACGGUAGACACACGGGACUUAAAAUCCCGAGGGGGCAACCCCGUGUGGGUUCGAAUCCCACCGUCCGCACCA
rnacentral:tRNA from 3 species